rnacentral:rRNA from 1 species
GACUCUCGGCAACGGAUAUCUCGGCUUCGCAUCGAUGAAGAACGUAGCGAAAUGCGAUACUUGGUGUGAAUUGCAGAUCCCGUGAACCAUCGAGUCUUUUGAACGCAAGUUGGCCCGAAGCCAUUAGGCCGAGGGCACGUCUGCUGGCGUCACG